GCUUUUGAUGGUGUUAUAAGCAUGGUAACGCAAUUUGAAGAUGGCUUUUUAUGAAGCAGAUCCUGAAUGUUUAAACAAGACCAAAGUAUGCAUAGAAGAACUGUAAUAUAUAUAAGGCAUUCUGAUGUUUGAUCCUAAUAUAUUUUAUAUAUACCAAAGAUUGGCAUUACUUAAGCACAGAUUUACCAAUACGUGACUUACAUACUCUAGUACUCUUUUAAAUACCUAAUCUCCUAUUUCUCUCUAUUCCCUAGAGAAAAAUGGUUCUGUGGGAGAUUCAACAGACCACAUCGUGAUGUUUAGGGCUGCAACAUCCAAAAUGUUGGUAUUCAAAACUCAAUAUACAGUGCUGAUCUAGGUGCCUAGAUAUAACUCUGCACCAAAUACAGGAACUCAAAUUAGUAUUCAAAACAACCAGCUUGCUGAGUGCUGGCAUGUUAAACACCACUGCAUGAAACAUGACUCUGAAGUUUGGAAGCUGAAGCACCUUAGUGGGAAUUCAGAACUCUGCUUUCAUUCUGAGAGUGAGACAUUACUGAGCACCAGCUCCCUCCUCUCUUCUGUCUUGUUGCAGGAGCCUUCCCAUGGAAGCUGCAAGUCAGAAACUGGAGUUUGACAGCAAGUUGUCUGUGAUUUGCUUUUCUCAAGUUAUUUAUGGGCCAUGCUUCCAGCCGCAAGCCUACAAUUCUUGAAUAAGAAGCUUAUGCACUUCACCCUACCCCAUCUACUUGGAGCUGUUAUGAAAUCUGAUCUACUUCUUGAUUCUUAUGUGUCUAUCACAGAAAACAUUACCCACAUUGGAAAUCAGAGAAGAAACUAUAGGGAAGAGGAGAUUUUGAGAAAUGUUUUGGAUGUGCAGACAGGAAAUUUUAAAAGUAAGUGAUAAUCCUUUGGCUUUAAUAUCAU
rnacentral:lncRNA from 1 species